rnacentral:rRNA from 1 species
UACGUAGGGUGCAGGCGUUAAUCGGAAUUACUGGGCGUAAAGCGUGCGCAGGCGGCUCCUUAAGUCAGAUGUGAAAGCCCCGGGCUUAACCUGGGAACUGCGUUUGAAACUGGGGAGUUAGAGUGUGGAAGAGGGGGGUGGAAUUCCAGGUGUGGCAGUGAAAUGCGUAGAGAUCUGGAGGAACACCGAUGGCGAAGGCAGCCCCCUGGGCUAACACUGACGCUCAUGCACGAAAGCGUGGGGAGCAAACAGG